UCCCACGUGGUCUAGUGGCUAGGAUACCUGGCUCUCACCCAGGGUUCGAUUCCCGGCGUGGGAA